rnacentral:rRNA from 1 species
GAAACGAUGUGGGAAGGCUCAGACAGCUAGGAGGUUGGCUUAGAAGCAGCCACCCUUUAAAGAAAGCGUAAUAGCUCACUAGUCGAGUCGGCCUGCGCGGAAGAUGUAACGGGGCUCAAACUGGAUACCGAAGCUGCGGCAGCAGACUUGUUCUGCUGGGUAGGGGAGCGUUGUGUAAGCCUGUGAAGGUGUGUUGAGAAGCAUGCUGGAGGUAUCACAAGUGCGAAUGCUGACGUGAGUAACGAUAAUGGGGGUGAAAAACCCCCACGCCGAAAGACCAAGGUUUCCUGCGCAACGCUAAUCGGCGCAGGGUGAGUCGGCCCCUAAGGCGAGGCAGAAAUGCGUAGCUGAUGGGAAACGGGUUAAUAUUCCCGUACUUCUUAUAACUGCGAUGGAGAGACGGAGAAGGCUAUGCCUACCGGGCGUUGGUUGUCCCGGGGAAAGGCUGUAGGCUGAGGUGUUAGGCAAAUCCGGCACCUUAAGGCUGAGAGUCGAGACCACUGGUCCUUUGUGACCGGGAAGUGGUUGAUGCCAUGCUUCCAGGAAAAUCUUCUAAGCUUCAGGUUAUAAGGAACCGUACCCCAAACCGACACAGGUGGUUGGGAUGAGUAUUCUAAGGCGCUUGAGAGAACUCGGGUGAAGGAACUAGGCAAAAUUGUACCGUAACUUCGGGAGAAGGUACGCCGCUGACGGUGACGAGACUUGCUCUCUGAGCUAUUGGCGGUCGCAGUGAAAAGGCCCCUGCAACUGUUUAUUAAAAACACAGCACUCUGCAAACGCGUAAGCGGACGUAUAGGGUGUGACGCCUGCCCGGUGCCGGAAGGUUAAUUGAUGGGGUUAGCUUCGGCGAAGCUCUUGAUCGAAGCCCCGGUAAACGGCGGCCGUAACUAUAACGGUCCUAAGGUAGCGAAAUUCCUUGUCGGGUAAGUUCCGACCUGCACGAAUGGCGUAAUGAUGGGGGCGCUGUCUCCACCCGAGACUCAGUGAAAUCGAAAUCGCAGUGAAGAUGCUGUGUACCCGCGGCUAGACGGAAAGACCCCGUGAACCUUUACUAUAGCUUCACAGUGGACUUUGAACCUGCUUGUGUAGGAUAGCUGGGAGACUUUGAAGCGGUGACGCUAGUCAUCGUGGAGUCGUCCUUGAAAUACCAGCCUGGCAUGUUUGAGGUUCUAACCUAGGUCCAUUAUCUGGAUCGGGGACAUUGUGUGGUGGGUAGUUUGACUGGGGCGGUCUCCUCCCAAAGAGUAACGGAGGAGCACAAAGGUACCCUCAGCACGGUCGGACAUCGUGCAACGAGCGUAAAGGUAGAAGGGUGCUUGACUGCGAGACCUACAAGUCGAGCAGGUGCGAAAGCAGGUCUUAGUGAUCCGGUGGUUCUGUAUGGAAGGGCCAUCGCUCAACGGAUAAAAGGUACUCCGGGGAUAACAGGCUGAUACCGCCCAAGAGUUCAUAUCGACGGCGGUGUUUGGCACCUCGAUGUCGGCUCAUCUCAUCCUGGGGCUGAAGCCGGUCCCAAGGGUAUGGCUGUUCGCCAUUUAAAGAGGUACGCGAGCUGGGUUUAGAACGUCGUGAGACAGUUCGGUCCCUAUCUGCCGUGGGCGUUGGAGAUUUGAGAGGAGCUGCUCCUAGUACGAGAGGACCGGAGUGGACGAACCUCUGGUGUUCCGGUUGUCACGCCAGUGGCAUUGCCGGGUAGCUACGUUCGGACGGGAUAACCGCUGAAAGCAUCUAAGCGGGAAGCCUCCCUCAAGAUGAGAUCUCCCUGGGAACUUGAUUCCCCUGAAGGGCCGUUGAAGACCACAACGUUGAUAGGCUGGGUGUGGAAGCGUUGUAAGGCGUGAAGCUAACCAGUACUAAUUGCCCGUGAGGCUUGACUAUAUAACACCAAAGCAGU